UACGAAGGGGGCUAGCGUUGCUCGGAAUCACUGGGCGUAAAGCGCACGUAGGCGGCUUUUUAAGUCAGGGGUGAAAUCCUGGAGCUCAACUCCAGAACUGCCUUUGAUACUGAGAAGCUUGAGUCCGGGAGAGGUGAGUGGAACUCCGAGUGUAGAGGUGAAAUUCGUAGAUAUUCGGAAGAACACCAGUGGCGAAGGCGGCUCACUGGCCCGUAACUGACGCUGAGGCACGAAAGCGUGGGGAGCAAACAGG
rnacentral:rRNA from 1 species